CUGCGAUGAUGGCAAGAUUUUUCGUCAACAGAACCGCGCCGUGCGCAUGGUGACACCUGUGGUCUGAGCAG